rnacentral:sRNA from 1 species
AGUUGCCUGAAGCUUUCGUUGAGUGUUCAUAAUUGAACCUACACUAAUUGCAAGGGAAUUUGAGCUCAUUCGCUAUGUCAAGCCUCCCUCGAGUGGAAGACAGAAUGGAUGAUAGAAUGCCCACCUAUCUAAUGAUAGGGCGUCAAUUAUACCUUGACGGAGUUUCGGGCAAUUU